AACGAACGCUGGCGGCAUGCCUAACACAUGCAAGUCGAACGAGACCUUCGGGUCUAGUGGCGCACGGGUGCGUAACGCGUGGGAACCUGCCCUUAGGUUCGGAAUAACUCCCCGAAAGGGGUGCUAAUACCGGAUAAUGUCUUCGGACCAAAGAUUUAUCGCCUUUGGAUGGGCCCGCGUUGGAUUAGCUAGUUGGUAGGGUAAAAGCCUACCAAGGCGACGAUCCAUAGCUGGUCUGAGAGGAUGAUCAGCCACACUGGGACUGAGACACGGCCCAGACUCCUACGGGAGGCAGCAGUGGGGAAUAUUGGAGAAUGGGCGAGAGCCGGAUACAGCAAGGCCGCGUGAGUGAUGAAGGCCUUAGGGUUGUAAAGCUCUCUUACCCGGGAUGAUAAUGACAGUACCGGGAGAAUAAGCUCCGGCUAACUCCGUG
rnacentral:rRNA from 1 species